UUGUGUUUUGUGUGAUGUUCCUAGAGAUUGCUUGUCGUCUUCUGUUUUGAUUUACCGUUUGGAUUUUCGAUGGAUCUUUGAAUCUGGACAUUUAAGUUUAGGCAGUCUCAAGUGGACACUCAAAGAAAUGCUGUUGUUUUUCACACCUGCAUUGGCUUCAUUUUUUGAACGCCAGCGGAUGCAGCUUUAGCCAGAGUCGAUUUGUUUGGGUGUUUUUGGAGGAGGAUCAGGGCAGUCUGUUUGAUGCAAGGCCAGCAGGCAUGCGUGAGACCCCCACUGUGGAGGAUAAGUCAGCUCCAUCAUGUUCCAAACACAAAAAUCUGAUCUGCAGGUGGUUGGAGGAGGCAGAAUGACAGCCAUAUGGACACAGUCAUCAGGCCACCUGGAGCCCUGUUAUACUUGUUUGUUUUUCUGCCUGAAAAGGCAUCCAUUUGUUUCUUUGCCGCUUUGGUGUUUUUAGUCAUUUCUCUGUAAAUAAUUGAAGGACUAUUGUCUAGACCUGCUCAAAUUGUAAAAUGUCAUGAGACAACUUUUUUUUGUAAGAAGGCGCAUCGACAUCUGUUUUGUAUCAGAAAACUCUCUAGUCUUCACAUUGAUAAAACUUGGAUGAUUUUGUUUUAUAGAGCUUUCAUUGAAUCAAUUAUUUUGUUUCACG